CCAUCCGAUCCCGUUAGUCGCCUCUUACGACAAGCAUGGGUAACUGAAGGCUCAUUCUAACCCGGACCUUCACGGGUCAUAGAUAUUUAAGAGCAUCAGACAACUCUUCUUCAAAAUAAGGGUUGCAAAUCAAAGGCCUUAAAAAUUUCAAAACAUCUUAAAAUGUGGAGAACAUUAUAUAAAUUUGACGCAUCCUGGAAGAAAAUGUACUUUCGUAGUUUUACUUCUUCGUAUGGUACCGAGUUUCUGCAGUUGAACAAGUGACAUGCCUAUGCAAGUGUUUGUAUCAAAUGCCAUCGGUUCACAUCACCUUGUAUCAUCAGCAUUUCAUGAUGUGUCAAUAAUUGUGAUAUAGUCGUAAUUCAAUAAUCUGAUUGUGAUGAGAUUAUUCCUGUCAAAAUACUUCAUAUUUUACUAACAUAACACCAUAUGUUAUUGGAUGGGAUAUUUCAGAUAUGUUAAUGCAGAAACAAAUUAUUGAGAUGUUUUGUUAGACUUAGUCGCUUACUGAUCAAACUAUCAGAUCAAUGAUUUGUGUUCUUAUUGUUGUUAACACUCAGCAAUAGACCAACUGUACAGCGGCGGUCUGUUAUACUCAAGGCAAUCCGACGAUCAACAGCAUGAGCAUCAAUUUACGCAAUUGGGGUACGAUGACAUGUGUCAACCAAUCAGCGAGCCUGACCACCCGAUCCCGUUAGUGGCCUCCUACAAGCAUGGGUUGCUGAAGACCAAUUUUAACCCGGAUCUUGAAGAGUCAUCAGAUCAUUGAUGCCAUUAUGACAGUGGUAACAGCCAUCACUGUUGAGUGAGUGAGGACAUUGUCAGAUGGGGAACGAAAACACUCGGCCAACCAGCUCACAGUUUGUACCUGACCUAUUGUCAACAGUUGCGUCUUAAAUACAUGGGGUUCUCUGGAUGUACUUAACCCGGAAACACCUGGCGCGGUUCUUACUUGUGGCUGGACAGGUGGGGUAGCCUCGUGGUUAAAGCGUUCGCUCGUCACGCCGAUGACCCUGGUUCGAUUCCACACAUGGGUGCAAUGUGUGAAUCUCAUUUCUGGUGUCCCCUGCAGUGGUACUGCUGGAGUAUUGCUGAAAGCGGCGGAAAAGACUCUUACUCGUGGUUGUAAACACACACAGGACACUUUGCUCAUGAACAACACACUACGUUAUAGAAGCAUGUAACAAAUGAAUGUAAUGAUUGUCGAAUAUACAUAUAAAGUAUUUCAACCCGAA